AUGCGGCCAUACCAUGCUGAAUAUACCGGUUCUCGUUAGAUCACCGAAGUCAAGCAUCAUUGGGCGCGGUCAGUACUUGGGUGGGUGACCACCUGGGAACACCGCGUGCCGUU